rnacentral:rRNA from 1 species
GACGAACGCUGGCGGCGUGCUUAACACAUGCAAGUCGAACGGUAAGGCUCCAGCUUGCUGGGGUACACGAGUGGCGAACGGGUGAGUAACACGUGGGUGACCUGCCCUGCACUUCGGGAUAAGCUUGGGAAACUGGGUCUAAUACCGGAUAGGACCAUGGUGUGGAUACUGUGGUGGAAAGUUUUUUCGGUGUGGGAUGGGCCCGCGGCCUAUCAGCUUGUUGGUGGGGUAAUGGCCUACCAAGGCGGCGACGGGUAGCCGGCCUGAGAGGGUGGACGGCCACAUUGGGACUGAGACACGGCCCAGACUCCUACGGGAGGCAGCAGUGGGGAAUAUUGCACAAUGGGCGGAAGCCUGAUGCAGCGACGCCGCGUGGGGGAUGACGGCCUUCGGGUUGUAAACUCCUUUCGCCAUCGACGAAGGGUUUCUGACGGUAGAUGGAGAAGAAGCACCGGCUAACUACGUG